GAGCUGAAGAAGAACUGUCACUUUCAGAUUCGUAGUUUAUAUCUAAAGCUCACUGUAAUCGAGAUUUUAUCA